UCUUCCUACGGGGGGCAGCAGUGGGGAAUAUUGCACAAUGGGCGCAAGCCUGAUGCAGCAACGCCGCGUGAGCGAAGAAGGUCUUCGGAUCGUAAAGCUCUGUCCUUGAGGAAGAAGGAAGUGACGGUACUCAAGGAGGAAGCCCCGGCUAACUACGUGCCAGCAGCCGCGGUAAUACGGAGGAUGCGAGCGUUAUCCGGAUUUAUUGGGUUUAAAGGGUGCGUAGGCGGGCUUUUAAGUCAGCGGUAAAAAUUCGGGGCUCAACCCCGUCCGGCCGUUGAAACUGGGGGCCUUGAGUGGGCGAG
rnacentral:rRNA from 1 species